rnacentral:rRNA from 1 species
GUAGGUGGCAAGCGUUGUCCGGAAUUAUUGGGCGUAAAGCGCGCGCAGGCGGUCCUUUAAGUCUGACGUGAAAGCCCACGGCUCAACCGUGGAGGGUCAUUGGAAACUGGGGGACUUGAGUACAGAAGAGGAAAGCGGAAUUCCAAGUGUAGCGGUGAAAUGCGUAGAGAUUUGGAGGAACACCAGUGGCGAAGGCGGCUUUCUGGUCUGUAACUGACGCUGAGGCGCGAAAGCGUGGGGAGCAAACAGGAUUAGAUACCCUGGUAGCCCACGCCGUAAACGAUGAGUGCUAAGUGUUAGGGGGUUUCCCGCCCCCCUUAGUGCUGCAGCUAACGCAUUAAGCACUCCGCCUGGGGGAUACGGCCGCAAGGCUG